UACGGAGGGGGCUAGCGUUGUUCGGAAUUACUGGGCGUAAAGCGUGCGUAGACGGCUAUUUAAGUCGGGUGUGAAAGCCCCGGGCUCAACCUGGGAAUUGCAUUCGAGACUGAGUAGCUAGGGUGCGGUAGAGGGAAGCGGAAUUUCCGGUGUAGCGGUGAAAUGCGUAGAUAUCGGAAGGAACAUCAGUGGCGAAAGCGGCUUCCUGGACCAGCACCGACGUUCAGGCACGAAAGCGUGGGGAGCAAACAGG
rnacentral:rRNA from 1 species